rnacentral:lncRNA from 1 species
CUUUAACUUGUCUGUGUUUCCCAGAGAAUGUGUUCUCAUUAUUUUGUCUGCUGUUUUGUACCUUUGGACAUUCCACCAAUGAUGAAAUUCAGACAGUUCUAUCAGAUUUCGCUUCAAAAAUUUUGGACCUUUGUUACUAGGUACAUAAACAUCUGAGGUGUUUAUUGGAGCUCUUUGCCUAGAACUGAUAAUUGGAUUCAUGGUAUUCUGGAGAACAAGGAAGAAAACUGAAGCCCAGAAAGCUUAAUAUAUUACCCAAAGAGUUAGUCCACAUUGAACUGGGAGUUAAUCCUUGUCUGUCUGGCUGGAAAGCUUUUGCUCUGUAUCUUGGAUGAAUAAACUAAACCUUAGGGAAUCUUCCUAGAAGUAAAAAUACUGAAGCUUACAGGCUCAGAAUGAUUUUUCCUAAACGGCGUAGAUAUGGUAAGUAUGACGGGAGUUAGCCAGGCGUUAAUGAAGUACCACUGUUAAAGGGUGAGUAUCGUGAUAUUCUAAGAGGAUAACAGAGGAAGCUCAGUAACCCAUGUAGCAAGGAAUUCUUAGUUGCCUGCUUGAUGUUAGCCACCUGCCUUUCUCUUUCCUGAAUACAAGGCAGUGGGUAGGGGAAUUGGCUACAGAGGGUAGAAUGGCAUCAGGGCUUAUGCCACAUAAAAAGAUCUGGUUAUUCUCCUUAAUUCUGAUCCAGUAGGCUUGCUGAGCCCUUCUUAGAAGUGAAUUAUUUUAGUGUUAAUAAGAAGUCAGGCCCAAGAUAUAUUAAAUUCUUACUUUUCAUUUGUGGUUGCCAUGUCAUCCUGUAUGCUGAUUUGCUUUAGCUUAGUGACCUAUUUUUCAAGUAGCUAAUGCACUGAUGCCAAUGCAGAGGCCUUUGUGAAUAACUUUUGGCCACUGGGUUGAGGUAAAAUGUUCAUUUUCUGAUUCUGUGGUGCACAGGCAGAAAAGCGUAGGCUGUGGAACAGAUUUCCCAUGCACUGCUGCUGCUCUGCAUUACUGAACACGGGCUCAGCCAUUUGGCUUUUCUUGGACUUUUCAUUUUCAGAGACAGAGCCCCAUUUUACUUCUGUUUUUUUCUGUUAAUCAAUAAGCUGCAAAUAAAACUGCUGAAACCUGAUUUCCUCCCAGAGUACUUUUUUUCUGUGGAUGCUUCAGAUUCAGAGGGACUAGAGUUUCCAAUGAGGAUUGUUUUGACUUUUAAAAAAGGAACUGUAGUUCUGCUCCUGAAAAUAAAGGAAGUUAACAUUUCAAAGUAGGUCUCUGAACAAAACAUCUGCUGCAAAAACUUUGUGAUUGCUUUUUAAAGAAUAUACCAGGAAGACCAAGAAUAAGAGAAGAUGAGGAUAUUAGGGGAUGGAAUCACUCCUCCUUCUAUUCAUAAUUAUUUAGUGUAUAAAGACAAUCUACACCUCUUCAGCCUUCUUUUAUAUCUUUAAACUUCAGCAACAAGACCUAUAAAUUACCCUACUCCUUUCAAAAUCUCUUUUCAAGGAAAGAUGUAAGAAACUAUCUCAUAUGAAGAUUUAAAUGAUUGAUCAAACUUUCAAUAUUAUUCGUAAAAAGGAGUAUCUGAACUUAAAUAGAUAACCCCUCAAGCUAAAUUAAUGAUGUUUUGUGGUAUAUUUAGAGCUGUGUUUUUAUUUAUUAUUUGACAGAACUAAAAGGUCCCUAAAAUCAUGUGUGACUGCCUUUUUGUAAAACUGUACUAGAUUUGAAUCAUUGCUUUUCCUGACAGCUUCUUCUAAUGAAAUCUUACUCAUUAACUGCAGGAACAAUUGCAGAAUCCCACUCCACUCCCUGUAAUCAUGUUGGAACCUGGAAGGAAAUGAUCCAAGACUUCUUUUAUUAUAAAGCUUGACAGUAAUCACAUUGUAUAGCCUGGCAUCCUAGAAUGAGUUGGGCCAAACAGAUUCCUUUCUUGGGAGGAAUCUUCAUCCCUUUUCUUACUUCCUCUAGCAAUACUUUCAUGUUCAAGAGAGGUCAGACACUGAGGCAAAUUAAGUUUAUCAUUGCUCUCACUCUUAUUUUUAACUCAUUGAUUUCUUUUGCUGAGAUUCAUUCCCAUGACAACAACACAGGCCACUUGGGUUAAGAGCUCAAAAGAGCAAUGAAACUUGAGAGGAUCCAUUUUGUUUUUGUCCCAUUUGGUAUCAUUUCCAGAUGCUACUCACUGCCUUAUACAUCACACUGUCCCUGAGUCCUCAGGGUAUCUGUGAUAAAUUUUGAGAUCUUUUUAUUUCCUUGCCCAGUAAGAAAGGGCACUUUGUUUUUCCUGAUAUGGGAAAUAUUUUUACUUUCUCAGAAGCUUUUGUUCCCCAUACUUUGAUUAACAAUACUAAGUUAUAAAAUCUGUAAGGACAAGAUGGCUCAAAUGCAUCACCCCCUCCACAGGGACUUUGUACAGGGCAUUUCCUCCAUCUUUCCUGCUCUCUCCCUUCCCUCUUUCAUUAGCCAUAUCAACUCACACUGAUUGUUUCUCUCAGCUGAAAGGUUACUUCCUCAGGGAAGACUGCCCAGGACACUCAGAAUGGAUUUGUCCCCACUGCUUUUCCUGCCUAUAAUCUCCUUAUAAUUCUUCCUCAAAGCAUAUACUGUAACUGGUAACUAUAUAUUUCUGGGAAUAUUUAAAUAAUAUUCUUUCCCCAACUAGGCUGUGAGCUCCUGAAGAUAGGGAACCUGGCACUUUGGUUUAUAUUUAAAUCUCAGCACCCAGCAGAAUGACUGACAACUAGUAGACUUGGUAGGUAUUUAUUUAUUGCAUGGAUGGAAGAAUCUCUAAUUUCUCCCUCUUAAGGCUACAAUCAGUUUGACAGUUUAUCUGUGUGUGUGACUCAACCUGAGUUGCUAUAAAAAAUAUAAUAGACUGGGUGGCUUAAAUAAUAGAAAUUUAUUUCUGAAAGUUCUACAGCUUAUCACUAUGUCCUCACAUGACAGAGCAUAAGAGAGGAAGAGGGAGCUCUCUUUCUCUUCUUCUAAGGCCAGUAUAAAGAAAAAUAAAUAAAUAAACAACAAAAAAUAAGGCCAGUAUAAUACCAUAUCAUAGUUGUGGCUUUCCAGAGAAACAUAACCAAAAAGAAGUAUGUGGAUAGAUAGAAAGAUAGAUAGAUGGAUAGAUAGAUAGAUUAAUAGAGAUCUAUAUAAUGGGAAUUGGCUCAUAUGAUUAUGGAGGAUAAAAAGUCCCAUGGUCUGCUGUCUGCAAGCUGGAGGACCAGGAAAGUUAAUAGUGUAAUUCAGUCUGAGCCCAAAGGCCUGAGAAUCAGGGGAGCCAAUAGUAUAAAUACCAGUUCCUGGACAAAGGCCUGGGGACUAGGGGUAAGGGUAGGGGUAGGGGUGGGAGUGGAGGGUGGGUGUGGUGAAAGUCCUGGAGGUGUCUGAGGGCAGGAGAAGAUCGAUACCUUUCAAACACAGAAUGAUAAUUCACCCUUCUUCUGCCUUUUUGUUCUAUAUGGGCCUUCAACAGAUUGAAUGGUACCCACACUGGGGUGAGCUAUCUACUUUACUCAGUUCAUCAAUUCAAAUGCUAGUAUCUUCUGGAAACACCCUCACAGACAUAUCCAGAAAUAAUGUUUUACCAGCUUCCUGGUAAUCUCUUAGUCCAGUGAAGUUGACACAUAAAAUUAAGCAGCACAGUCAACAAUCCUAUUGGAUUAAGCGGUCUAUGGUUAUGACCUCAUUUAACCUUUAUCACCUCCUCAUAUGCCCUAUCUCCAAAUACAGUCACAUUGGUGGCUAGAGCUUCAGAACUCACACACACACACACACACACACACACACACACACGUAUAUUUUAGGAGGGGUCACAAUUUAUUCUAAUAGCACCAGGUUAUACUUAUUUGACUUGAAGUUGCCUCAGUCCUUCCAGCAGAUACUAACUUAGCACUCUCUACUUUUCACUUUUCUUAUUUGCAAGCAAAUCUUUAUUUUUUUUUAUAAAAGAGUGUUCAGUUUCUGUUAACUCUACAGGUUUUCUCUCUCUUUCUUUCUCUCUCCCUCUCUUGAUUUCUUUCUCUUUGUUGCUGUUUGGCUUUGAAGAAAAUAAAAAUCUUUUUCUGAGUAUAUUUUUUAUGUGAAUUGAAAGUUGUGGUACAGGAUGGCAACAACAGAAGUGUAUUAAUGUAAGCAAGACUCAGAAAUCAUUAUUUAUGCAUUCAAAAAGUAAAUAUAUUUCCAGUUUUUGUGUGUGCCACUGAAUUUCGUUGGGUUUUGAUAUUCUUUCUUCUGUGGUUUUUAUUUUCCUCCCAUUCAUAUACUUGAUUGAAGGUGAAUCCUAGUUCUUAUAUCUUCCUCAACAGAAAAGUUGUAUUUGUCUCCAAGUGCUCUAUUUAAUUUUUUAAAAUGAUUUUUAUUACUCUGUACAAGGGAGUCAUCUGGAAAUGGCAUUCCUUAAUAAACUGCCCUUAUUUUUUCUUGUGAAAGAAGUUCUGUUUUCUGUUUUUCAUCUUCAAAUGG